AUGCUUCACAUCAUCAGGGUUUCAUCCACCGUUUCUAUUAUCACUCAUCAUUUUAAAGUUCUCGCUCGUCUACCGGAGAACUCCAGUGGCUCUUCAACGACUCAGGCUUUCGUUGCCCAGCCAGAAAAACAAAUUGAAGGUAUGUCAGGUAGACAUGGUAUAACAUCUGCUGUUGCUGCCUAUAUACUUGAAAUUCUGGACAGUAAACUUGUGGUAUUGAUGAUUUCUGGACUGGACUUGAAAUGA